rnacentral:rRNA from 1 species
AAUGCUGACAUAAGUAACGAUAAAGCGGGUGAAAAGCCCGCUCGCCGGAAGACCAAGGGUUCCUGUCCAACGUUAAUCGGGGCAGGGUGAGUCGACCCCUAAGGCGAGGCCGAAAGGCGUAGUCGAUGGGAAACGGGUUAAUAUUCCCGUACUUGGUGUUACUGCGAAGGGGGGACGGAGAAGGCUAUGUUGGCCGGGCGACGGUUGUCCCGGUUUAAGCGUGUAGGUGUGUGUUCCAGGUAAAUCCGGUUCACUUUAACACUGAGGCGUGACGACGAGGCACUACGGUGCUGAAGCAACAAAUGCCCUGCUUCCAGGAAAAGCCUCUAAGCAUCAGGUAACAUCAAAUCGUACCCCAAACCGACACAGGUGGUCAGGUAGAGAAUACCAAGGCGCUUGAGAGAACUCGGGUGAAGGAACUAGGCAAAAUGGUGCCGUAACUUCGGGAGAAGGCACGCUGACACGUAGGUGAAGUGAUUUACUCAUGGAGCUGAAGUCAGUCGAAGAUACCAGCUGGCUGCAACUGUUUAUUAAAAACACAGCACUGUGCAAACACGAAAGUGGACGUAUACGGUGUGACGCCUGCCCGGUGCCGGAAGGUUAAUUGAUGGGGUCAGCGCAAGCGAAGCUCCUGAUCGAAGCCCCGGUAAACGGCGGCCGUAACUAUAACGGUCCUAAGGUAGCGAAAUUCCUUGUCGGGUAAGUUCCGACCUGCACGAAUGGCGUAAUGAUGGCCAGGCUGUCUCCACCCGAGACUCAGUGAAAUUGAACUCGCUGUGAAGAUGCAGUGUACCCGCGGCAAGACGGAAAGACCCCGUGAACCUUUACUAUAGCUUGACACUGAACAUUGAGCCUUGAUGUGUAGGAUAGGUGGGAGGCUUUGAAGUGUGGACGCCAGUCUGCAUGGAGCCGACCUUGAAAUACCACCCUUUAAUGUUUGAUGUUCUAACGUGGACCCGUUACCCGGGUUGCGGACAGUGUCUGGUGGGUAGUUUGACUGGGGCGGUCUCCUCCUAAAGAGUAACGGAGGAGCACGAAGGUUGGCUAAUCCUGGUCGGACAUCAGGAGGUUAGUGCAAUGGCAUAAGCCAGCUUGACUGCGAGCGUGACGGCGCGAGCAGGUGCGAAAGCAGGUCAUAGUGAUCCGGUGGUUCUGAAUGGAAGGGCCAUCGCUCAACGGAUAAAAGGUACUCCGGGGAUAACAGGCUGAUACCGCCCAAGAGUUCAUAUCGACGGCGGUGUUUGGCACCUCGAUGUCGGCUCAUCACAUCCUGGGGCUGAAGUAGGUCCCAAGGGUAUGGCUGUUCGCCAUUUAAAGUGGUACGCGAGCUGGGUUUAGAACGUCGUGAGACAGUUCGGUCCCUAUCUGCCGUGGGCGCUGGAGAACUGAGGGGGGCUGCUCCUAGUACGAGAGGACCGGAGUGGACGCAUCACUGGUGUUCGGGUUGUCAUGCCAAUGGCACUGCCCGGUAGCUAAAUGCGGAAGAGAUAAGUGCUGAAAGCAUCUAAGCACGAAACUUGCCCCGAG